rnacentral:rRNA from 1 species
AUUGAACGCUGGCGGCAGGCUUAACACAUGCAAGUCGAACGCGUGGCGGACGGGUGAGUAAUGCUUGGGAAUCUAGCUUAUGGAGGGGGAUAACUACGGGAAACUGUAGCUAAUACCGCGUACCAUAGGAUGAGCCCAAGUGGGAUUAGGUAGUUGGUUGGGUAAAGGCUCACCUAGCCGACGAUAUCUAGCUGGUCUGAGAGGAUGACCAGCCAAACUGGAACUGAGACACGGCCCAGACUCCUACGGGAGGCAGCAGUGGGGAAUAUUGAACAAUGGGCGCAAGCAUGAUGCAGCCAUGCCGCGUGUAUGAAGAAGGCCUUAGGGUUGUAAAGUACUUUCAGCGAGGAGGCGUUACUCGCAGAAGAAGCACCGGCUAACUCCGUGCCAGCCGCCGCGGUAAUAC